AUAAUACUCCCUCUGUCCGAAAAUACUUAUCGAAGGAAUGGAUGUAUCUAGAUGUAUUUUCUUUUUAGCUACAUCCAUUAUUAUUGAAUUUUGUGACAAGUAAUUUCGGACGGAGGGAGUACUUG
rfam:Hordeum vulgare subsp. vulgare, WGS project CAJW01000000 data, contig: morex_contig_368740